CUUGACUUCUGUGCACCAGUGUGUACUUCAGUCCAGAGGAGAACAUCUGGCUGGAGGAGCUCAGCCAGGCCCACUGGCGAAGCUGUGGAGGCUGGGGGAGGAGUUUGUAGUUUCUCUAGGGGGAGGUGAGCAUGUUAGAUACUGGUAGCCAAGCAAGUGCCCAGGCUAACCCCGAUAACCGCGGGCUUGUGGAAGGGUUAGGAGAUGACACUUACAGACGCUUAACUGGAACCCUGGCACUGAAGGACCCACUGUCCCGGGUCACUGAGACUAGCAGUGCACUGUGGUCCCUGAGUGUCGCCAGUGAUUCUCCUUCAUGCUCGCUCAUCUUUGAUGAUUUCGGCAGGUGAAAGACAAAAGGACCUUGAAGGCAGUGUGGCUUUCUGCCCUUCCAGAUGCAGAAGCAGCUCUGGUCCUGCUGCCAGGAGGACAGGAACUAGCAGACAUGGAGUUCCAUUGGUGCUGGGUCAAACAAGAGACCAGCUGACAGAAAGCUGGAAGAAGCCAUUCUGCAUGCAGUUCAAUGGGA